AAUUUCACACCAAUGGAAACAAGAACAAAAUCCUAUGAGUUUCCAGGGAUAUGAUGUGAGAACUAUGUAUGAAGAAUUAAGAUACGAGAAUAGAUUUUAGAGUUCUCAACAGCAACUGUGGAAGCUAGAAUGCAACAGAACAAUGGAACACUUCCAAACUCAGAACAACUUUUACACUCAACCAAACGAUCAAUUAAUUGUGAUGGUAGAAGAAAGAAAGUAUUUUCUGAUACUCAUAGUGUCAAAAAUAUUUAUUCCCAAUCUUUGUUUCUCAGGGAACAACUCAAAAAUAUGCUCCUCCACAAAUAAAGGGAUAAAGCUAUAAAGAAGUCAACAUGGGGUAAAGAAGUAAAGAAACAAGAUCCCACACAGAAAAGAGGUGAAAGGAUUUCCCAGAAUGAUGAUGAUGAAGUGUGGUCUCAGGAUGACCACUGGUUAGCAGAUAAAAAGGUGAUCACUUCAGACUGGAGCAGGCCAGAAAGCUCUGGGAGAGAUUUCUGCAAGAAGACACAACUGACAGAAUACCUUGUGCAUCUAGAAGUCUUAAGACAUGAUUUAGUCACCCUACGGAUAAAGUAAGCCAAAGGAAAUCUGAGUAACAGGGCCCCUUCAUCUUUCUGCUCAAUCAUGGAACAUGUUUGCUGAGGAAGAUACUUCAUACUACAGUGAUGUAUUCCUGAUUUUCUAUUUCCCAGUGCCAGAAAAUCAAGGUGCUUCUGCAUGACCGUCUAGUGGGCUGGGGGCUACGUUCCUUCCUGAGGUUUAGAAAUUGUGGGUCUGUUUAUUGUUUGUAACAAUGACUUGAAAUACUUGUUACAACAACUGGACUGAGCAUGGUGGGCUAGGAGUGCCAACCAUUCUCCAAUAGAAGGGCCACUUGGUGAAGACCUGUCCUACCCCCAAAUUCCAAUAAUGCCGGCACUGAAAAAUGCCAUUACAAGAUGAUGGAGUCUGUUAUAUCUUCUAUGUAAUAGUUAAUAUAAAAUAAUUAUACCUAUAAGAACACAAGGCACUCAGUUAAAAUUAGUGUUAUCCAGAUUACUUUACCAACCAAAUAUUUUACCGAGUCAAGCAUGUUUUUAUGGUUCCCAAGCUAUAUUUUACAUAAAUCUUAGACAAUAAGUAUUUUAUCAUGUAACAGAAGAAAUAAUAUGACUCUCAGUAAAAGUCUUUUCUCCAAAAGCAGGCUUUGCUUUCAGCGUGUACUGUGCUGGCAGCAUUCCUAUCUCUAGACCUGUGCUCCAGGCCUGGACAGACUCUAAGAAGAACACAGCCUUACAGCUUGAAUCCUUGACAUCUCUUAUGCAGACUGAAACUCAGUCUUGAUUCUAAAAGCUGCACAGGCACCGACUACCCCAGAAGCAGUCUUGGGUUGCCUUAAAUUUCAAUUAUAAUAAAACCCUCACUAAUCCACCUAAAAUAUUUAAUAAUUUUUUAAAAUCCUCUGCUACAAUCUCCUAAUUUUGAGUUUGGUAUUUGCUUUCAUUUUCUUUCUAACUCCAGAAAAAUAAAUGAAAAGUAGCU